GACGAACGCUGGCGGCGUGCUUAACACAUGCAAGUCGAACGGAAAGGCCCUGCUUUUGUGGGGUGCUCGAGUGGCGAACGGGUGAGUAACACGUGAGUAACCUGUCCUUGACUUUGGGAUAACUUCAGGAAACAGGGGCUAAUACCGGAUAGGAGCUCCUGCUGCAUGGUGGGGGUUGGACAGUUUCGGCGGUUGGGGAUGGACUUGCGGCUUAUCAGCUUGUUGGUGGGGUAGUGGCAUACCAAGGCUUUGACGGGUAGCCGAUCUGAGAGGGUGACCGGCCACAUGACAACGGAGAUACGGCACAGACUCCAACGGUAGGCAGCGGUGGAGAAUAUUGCACAAUGGGAGGAAGCCUGAUGCGGCAACGCCGCGUGCGGGAUGACGGCCUUCGGGUUGUAAACCGCUUUCGCCUGUGACGAAGCGUGAGUGACGGUAAUGGGUAAAGAAGCACCGGCUAACUACGUG
rnacentral:rRNA from 1 species